CGGGAAACAUUUUAUUGAAGCUUCGGCAGAUUUAGCUUGUUUCUAGUGGCGGACGGGUGAGUAACGCGUGGGUAACCUGCCUCACACUGGGGGAUAACAGUCAGAAAUGGCUGCUAAUACCGCAUAAGCGCACAGCAUCGCAUGAUGCAGUGUGAAAAACUCCGGUGGUGUGAGAUGGACCCGCGUUGGAUUAGCUAGUUGGCAGGGCAGCGGCCUACCAAGGCGACGAUCCAUAGCCGGCCUGAGAGGGUGAACGGCCACAUUGGGACUGAGACACGGCCCAGACUCCUACGGGAGGCAGCAGUGGGGAAUAUUGCACAAUGGGGGAAACCCUGAUGCAGCGACGCCGCGUGAAGGAAGAAGUAUCUCGGUAUGUAAACUUCUAUCAGCAGGGAAGAAAAUGACGGUACCUGACUAAGAAGCCCCGGCUAACUACGUGCCAGCAGCCGCGGUAAUACGUAGGGGGCAAGCGUUAUCCGGAUUUACUGGGUGUAAAGGGAGCGUAGACGGUGUUGCAAGUCUGAUGUGAAAGGCGGGGGCUCAACCCCUGGACUGCAUUGGAAACUGUGAUACUCGAGUGCCGGAGAGGUAAGCGGAAUUCCUAGUGUAGCGGUGAAAUGCGUAGAUAUUAGGAGGAACACCAGU
rnacentral:rRNA from 1 species